ensembl:lncRNA
AGAUAAAUAUUUUAACUAGAUAAUAGAACAUUUUGCUUGUAUAAAAAAGCUUUUACAGGUUAUGUUUGGUAAGAUAUUUUGUCGUAUUUUGAAAUUCAGAUAGAAAACCGCUGGCCUCAAGAUAUUACCUCAAACGUGACACAAUUCCCUCUCAUGGUUUUCCACUCACCGCAGAACUGUCAUGGCUGCCUCACAGGGUCCCACAGAUGAUAGGAUGGCUCUGACAGAUGGGAACUUUCUGUCCAGGGCCAAGCCACAUCUAUCCAGAUAAACUGAGAGGAUGUAGGGGGACUUAAAUGACUCUCUUGGUCAGGCCAAUAAUAAGCAGACCAUAAAUACGUAUAUCCUUUCAGAUUAUAUUAUUGAGAAAUAUGAUUGUGGGAAGAUAUUUAUAUAUAUAAUAUCUGGAUUAUGGACUUAGUAUGUAUUACUUUAGCUAACUGGAUGAUGCUUUGGGCAACUUUAUAUUAUUGAGAAUUUUAAGAUUGCUUUAAGGAUCUUAAAGGAAUUGAUUAUUUUUAUUAUUUCAUACAUCAUGAAACGAAGGUCACGAGAGAAAACAGACUUUUGCUAUUUUGCGGUGUAUAGAGAAUGACGCUUCGGGGAGCUGUGAUCCAGUGGAAACACUGCUGGUCCAGUGGAAACACUCCUGGUCCAGUGGAAACACUCCUGGUCCAGUGAAAACACUCCUGGUCCAGUGAAAAGACUACUGGCUCCAUAUAAAUAAUGCAGCUCCCUUUUGGAGACCAGCAUUCAGUCUUCUUCCUACUCCCUUUCAACUUUGUCCCCCUUCACCUAUCUUCCAGUCCUUCUAGACUGAGUCCUUCUAGACUCUCUGUUGAGGAAAGAUGAAAAAACAUGUGAGCUGGUGAUACAUUCCCAUGAACCUGGGAACAUACACUCCCUGACAAAGGAUGAGUACGACCCUAGAGCCCUAUCCUACAUCUAUAAUGAUGAAGGCACCCACGUUCUGUUCUACAUCAAGAUGGCCAAUUUGGCAGACCCUGUUCUUGACGACAUCAAAGAAGUCUGCCAAAGCUCAAUAACACAAGGAGACCAAGUCACUGAAGUCAAUAAUUCAUUAGCAAAUUCUUCUGCCUUACUGCUAUUUGAUGAGAAGCUUGCUUCUCCUAAGGCCCUUGAUGAUAUGGACCAGUUCAGUCCAAUUCCUGCCUCUCCAUCAGACCAACAACAGCAGAUCUCAUCCAAGGAUGAGCUGAGGGACAUAUUCUCCGUCAGCAGUCAAAAUCCUUGCAUGAAUCAACAAGGACCUCCACUGUUUCCCACAAAGACCUCCACUGUUUCCCACAAGGACCUCCACUGUUUCCCUCAAGGACUUCCACUGUUUCCAUCAGCUCCUCAGAAAUUCCCCACCCUCCCUGGUCUGCCAGUCGCUGUGACACCAUUCACCUCACUCGUCUCCGUACCGUGGGACCAGCAGGGGCCCCGGCCAACCCUCUUGCCCAGUUCCAAUGGCCCCUGGGGGGGCCCAGCCGUCUGGCUUUCCCAGCCUGGUAUGACGGGAUGGACCAGUGGAGCGGGUGGCAUGAUGCCGAAUGGAGUCCCUCCAAUGGGAGUAAUCUCCCAACCUGGGAGGUUGUGGGGACAGAACACACUGAGCUCUCCCAUCUCUUCUGCCCCCACCUACACAUCCUAUGCUACAGAGCGACACCAGCAGCCAGUCUCUCCAACCAGCUACAUGUCCUAUGGGACAGAGGGACACCAGCAGCCAGUCUCUCCAACCAGCUACAUGUCCUACGGGACAGAGGGACACCAGCAGCCAGUCUCUCCAACCAGCUACAUGUGCGAUGGGACAGAGGGACACCAGCAGCCAGUCUCUCCAACUAGCUACAUGUCCGAUGGGACAGAGGGACACCAGCAGCCAGUCUCUCCAACUAGCUACAUGUCCGAUGGGACAGAGGGACACCAGCAGCCAGUCUCUCCAACUAGCUACAGCAAGCCAGCCGAAAGAUAAACAAGGCUGUGUCAAUUAAGUGUUGUUUGUUGUCUUCAUGUCUGUAUGCUUGACAUUGUUUUCCAUUACCAGUGCAUUUGCCUAAUAACGUGUAGGUGAAAAUCUUUUAAUGAAGUACAGUUUCACAUUAUGAUUAAUUAUAUUGCUGUUAAUUUGUGAAUUUCAGCGUAAAGCUGUUUUAGUAGUCUUUACUAUUGGUUGAGACUGAACCAUUUGUCUGAAUAAGUAAGUUAAGUUAGUAUUUCCAAUCAACGGAUGUAGUCAGUGAGACAUCUUACAGUGUCUGGUUUGUUUUCAAAGUAAAAGAAUGAAAAAUCUGAAAAACACAACUUGAAAUAUAUUUUGUCUAUUUAAGCAAGAUUAACUGGUUGUUUUUUUUGAGUUCCAAAAGGGAUUUCCAAAAGUUCCAAAAGGGAUGCUACAAAUCUUACAAAUAAGGUUGAGUCUUAAAUGAUGCUUGUGUAAUUAAAAAUCCUGUAAAAAAGUGUAAUAAACAUACACAUUUCUCAUCAUAAUUUUGGAUCAAAUGGGUGUUGUUGAUGAUCACAUUUUCAAAUGUUUUGCAAAAAAAACCUGUAAUUGCAUAAUCUAUCACAUAAUCUGUGGCUGAGUGGCUAAGAUUGUGGACCAAAACCAAACUAAAGUGGUUAUUAUUCAUAUUUAUGUGGAUAAAGGUUUGUUGCAGAAAUUAUUGGUGGCAGUGAGUGUACGUUUUAAAGGGUGAGGGUGUGUAAUUAAAAUGAUUAAAUUCCCUGUAUGUCGAUUGGUCAUCAUUGAUACACAACUCUUCUAGUUGACUUUCUGUCACCUACCACCCAUUUCCUGAUUUUACAUUGGGGAAAUUCAUUGAGUAACAGACAGUUCAGAGUUGUGCAGCAUCUUUGAAUGGCACCCAAAAAACAAUUUGAGCAUGGACAACAUUAUCAUCUAAUUUAAA